rnacentral:lncRNA from 1 species
CCGUCGCCCGACACAGAGUGCAUUCACAUAGGGGCAUAUUGCUCCUGGAAUUUAUCUCCUUGAAACAACCGGAACCGUGUGGGCCGUGUACUGGGUGUAGACGUGUAUUAUAGUAUAAACAAGUGCCUAUGAAAUGUGAAAAACGGAGGAGUUUUUUUUCAAGUAUUAGUUUUUUUUUACUUACAACGUAGAAUAGUUUGAAUUGGCGUUGAUUCGGGAGUGUAAAACUUUUUGGCAAGUUGUACGAGAUUCUAGAAUUAUGACUGAUUCUCGAAUCAAAAAUUGAUUCUUUUGUGAUUUUUGGACUAAAUAAUCAUGAUUUUCUUUUGCCAAAACCACGUAAUUCUUACUGAAAACUGUGAUUUUCUGAUUCUUUCUGAAAAUAAAAAAAUCUUUGACAAGUGUACGAGCUUCUUGCGAGUUUUACACCCCUUCGUUGAUUUCUUAUGUCACUACUCGAAACUGGACGCCUCUCCCGAAAAUGUUCAAAAAAUGACAAAGCAUUUAAGUAGAUUUUUUUUCCAGUGAUGUGUUGAAUUAAUACCUAAUUCAAAUCGGUUGGUUUGAGAAUUGCGUAUUUUUCUGUAUAAAGAAAUUUGGUUAGUUAGGUACGGUACUUACGGACUUACGAUUAUUUUAACUAACAACAUUCACUGGAUGAUUCGAAGGUACAGUAUAUUACUUACCUAUCAGCAGCUGCACUCACAAAGUCGAUCGAAACUAUCAGCGGAAAUCGUAAGAAUCUAUAUAUUCACAACCAACCAUGAAACAUUUUUGCGCUUUUUUGCUUUUUCAUUUCAAGGAGAAAUAGCUCUAGAAGAUUCCGAACUAUUUACAGUAACAAGUAAGGUGAAUAUCCAUUCCUUUUGUCACUUGAAAAAUGUGCCCGCCAUUUAAAAAACUCAAAAGAUGAGGAGAUGGGGAGAAUCCUUCCCAUCCUUCCAUACCAAGUAUCCAUCCGAUUUGGGUUCAGUCAUCUAAUAUCCGCAAGUGCGGUACUCCAUUUCACCAUGUUAUUCUGCAUUCGAUGAUCGUUCGCCGUUAUUAGAACAAAAACAGUACGCAUCAUAAUUGACGUAUGCACACUUGACAGCCAGUAGGAAAAUUCCUGAAUGACUUAGAAUGCCAGCAGAGAAACACCUGCUUUUGAUUUCUCUGUGGCUUGCCACCAUGUACCAUUCGUUUAGUGGCUUUCGUGUUGGAUGGCGAAUUUAGUCGGGCGAAAAAGUACUUUGUUACCGUUCUAAAAAUCCCUGUGUAGUGAAGACAAGAUGUCGAAGACUAAAGCUUUCUGUUCGUUCAAGCUUUCCAGAAUGUCAAAAUAUUUAUUAAGACGCCACUCCUGGCAUACAGCAUGACGUAUACCUGACAGGGAAAUACGUUAUUUUAUUUUAAAUAUUACAUCAGGUUGCCGACGUCAUCCUUACAGCAGAUAUUUUAAAAAAUUUACUUUCGUUGCCAAUGCUCUUAGAAAUGUGCGAUGACGAAGAUUCUAAAUUUUUGCACAAAGGUAAGUUAACGACCCAAUUUAAUAAAUCCCCCAGCGACUUUGAUGAGGACGUGGCUUAUGCUGAUCUUAUUAUCUGUCCAGCGUUGGUGUCCAUGGUUUCGGAGAACACUAGAGUGCACUAUAAACCUAAAUGUUGAUACCUUUUCAACAGUCUAAACGAUAAAGAUGUAACGGUGAAGUAAACGGCACAAAACAUUUAUUUACGAAAUUUUGAAACAAAUUUUAGCUAGACUUCUCCAAGAUAUCUCUAGAAGUAUGUCGUGUUCGAGCUUUGACCACCUCCUGUAAAUGUUUUGGUAACAGGGAGAUAAAUGGGUCGCCAUGACCGACGUAUUUAGCAAUAGAUUCCACGCAGCACCUUUACAAAGUUUUCCAUUAUGCUAUUUCUACCCAUUUUCCAUAUAUUUACUAACCUGAGAAGAGUUUUAGGAGUGACAGACAUCGACAACAUGUUUUCAGCAUAAACCUGUAAACAAGGGCCGUGAUUAGGUAAUAAGUGAAAGGAGAAAAUAGUUUUAUCCUAUAAUACCGUGCCAUCUGGCUGGUAGCUGUGAAUAUUACUUCGAACUCCACCUAUCACGAUCCAAUCGCUGUCGACCUUAACACUUUGAUGCCAUAAUCGUUUAUCGGACACCUUUAAUGGUAUUUCGGUCCAGUUAUUUCGGUCUAUAUCGUACAUCCAACAAUCUCCUAUGAAAAUACACUCAAUUACAUAGGUUAUUGUAAAGCAUAGUGGCUAUAAUUAAACCUAUUUUUAAAAUACAGUUUCAGCUGAAAAUUCGCAAUGCUUGUGGUCCUUAUCUGAACAGUUUUCUACGAUUUUGGCCAAACAAUGUUUCGCUCCGGCAAAUCGUCGUACUGCCGGGUUGCCAGCUAAACGAUUUCUAUUCUUCUGAUGGAAGAAACGGGGUUACAUUGUUUUGUUUUAAGUAUUCCUAUCCCUAACUUUCUUUUACGUAAUUUCUAAGAAGAUAAGAUUAGUUGACAGCCCCUGGUAAAAAAAUGAACGCCACAGGACCACAUACAGCGCAACAUUUUUGGACAGAUUAAGAACGAGGACGAAAAAAACAAAAAAACAAAAAAGAGUUAUAUGUAUAAGACAAUCUAGUAAUAGAAAGAUAUGAAGUAUAACUAUACCCAAUACUUCUCCUUCUGCUGAAAGACCACCGUAUAAAAUAGCUUUAGAUGACCCUACAUAAGUGAAAGAAUGCCACGAUCGACCACAAGGGAAGAGCUUGCCUGGAUUUAAACUAAAAGGCAGCUAUUAGGCAGAUUCGAUCACCAAGAAGCAAAAUAGUACUAUUUACUUUUCGCUCCACGACAUGGACUUCAAGUCAAGAACGUAAAGAUCAUUCAAUCGUGUUCCCUGAAGUCUACCACCGAAGAUAUACACACGGGAUUGGCAUCGAAAUCCAGCAAGAGCUGCACGUGGACUUGGAGGUAGCCCACUAGUUUCUGGCCAUUCCCAUCUGUUGCUAUUAAUGUUGUAUGCAACCAACUGAUUAUUCCAUCCUCUUCCCAUAUACCAUUGAUGACUUCUAUCAGGAAUAUAAUCAUACUGAUCAGCAUUGCGAUCGUCGUCAGCAGGUGUACCAAAGCCACCAAAAAAGAAAACUCUAAAACACAAGUUUGGUAUCAGUAGCAAAAUAUAGUCAAUACAAAAUUUCAAUUUA